UCCGUAGGUGGCGAGCGUUGUCCGGAUUUACUGGGCGUAAAGAGCGCGCAGGCGGUCGUUCAAGUCGCGUGUGAAAGCCCCCGGCUCAACUGGGGAGGGUCACGCGAUACUGAUCGACUCGAAGGCAGGAGAGGGAAGUGGAAUUCCCGGUGUAGUGGUGAAAUGCGUAGAUAUCGGGAGGAACACCGGUGGCGAAGGCGGCCCUCUGGACGGAUACUGACGCUGAGGCGCGAAAGCGUGGGGAUCAAACAGG
rnacentral:rRNA from 1 species